rnacentral:lncRNA from 1 species
GAGAGAUAUUGGGGACGCGAGGUGGCGUGACCUGACAGCGGCUGGGUCGAGGCAACUUGUUCUCCGGUCGCCGGCGGCGAGGUCGCAUGGUUGGAGUAGCUCAGGGUCGAGGGGCUCCUCCCUCGUGCGGCUGCGGGACGAGGCAGAGCUCAAGGUCGGGCGUGGAGUGCAUGGAGGUUUGGACCGGGGCACGGGCGCUGGUUCAUCGUGGAGCUGCGGUCACGGGACAUGCCUGGGAGGCAAGGGAGGAAGAGCACAUGCGGGCUUCGGCUUGCUGGUCGUUGCCAUGGAGUUGGAGACUGGUUGGC